rnacentral:misc_RNA from 1 species
AUUAUUCUCCGGUUCUUCUUUCCUUUAGACCUCUUUGAUUUGGGGAUUGAGACACUGCGGAAAAGUCCCCCAUGAGCAGUAUAUACACGGCCAGCUAUAACAGAGGCCAAGGGAAGCCCUUCGAAGCAUCCCAAACACUUCCUAUAUGCAUGCUUACCUUUAUCAUCGUACUUCACCAAAACUUCCUUCUCAAAGCCAUAAACAGACGUGCAAUACUUGGAUUCAUGAUUGCCACGGAGGAGAUGCACUCUAUGUGGCAAAAAGACCUUCCAAGCUAACAAGAGCAAGAAGGUCUCGAGACCCCAAGCGCCUCGGUCAACGUAAUCACCAUUGAAGACGAAGAAGCGAUUAUCAGAAGGGAAUCCAGCAUCCUGCAAGAG